rnacentral:rRNA from 1 species
GAUGAACGCUGGCGGCGUGCCUAAUACAUGCAAGUCGAGCGAACGGACGAGAAGCUUGCUUCUCUGAUGUUAGCGGCGGACGGGGGAGUAACACGUGGAUAACCUACCUAUAAGACUGGGAUAACUUCGGGAAACCGGAGCUAAUACCGGAUGAUAUUUUGAACCGCAUGGUUCAAAAGUGAAAGACGGUCUUGCUGUCACUUAUAGAUGGAUCCGCGCUGCAUUAGCUAGUUGGUAAGGUAACGGCUUACCAAGGCAAAGAUGCAUAGCCGACCUGAGAGGGUGAUCGGCCACACUGGAACUGAGACACGGUCCAGACUCCUACGGGAGGCAGCAGUAGGGAAUCUUCCGCAAUGGGCGAAAGCCUGACGGAGCAACGCCGCGUGAGUGAUGAAGGUCUUCGGAUCGUAAAACUCUGUUAUUAGGGAAGAACAGAUGUGUAAGUAACUGUGCACAUCUUGACGGUACCCAAUCAGAAAGCCACGGCUAACUACGUG